GUCUGUCUAUAUACAGCCUUAUUACUAAAGGUCUGUCUAUAUACAGCCUUACUGGGUUAUUACUAAAGGUCUGUCUAUAUACAGCCUUACUGGGUUAUUACUAAAGGUCUGUCUAUAUACAGCCUUACUGGGGUUAUUACUAAAGGUCUGUCUAUAUACAGCCUUACUGGGUUAUUACUAAAGGUCUGUCUAUAUACAGCCUUACUGGGUUAUUACUAAAGGUCUGUCUAUAUACAGCCUUAUUACUAAAGGUCUGUCUAUAUACAGCCUUACUGGGUUAUUACUAAAGGUCUGUCUAUAUACAGCCUUACUGGGUUAUUACUAAAGGUCUGUCUAUAUACAGCCUUACUGGGGUUAUUACUAAAGGUCUGUCUAUAUACAGCCUUACUGGGUUAUUACUAAAGGUCUGUCUAUAUACAGCCUUACUGGGUUAUUACUAAAGGUCUGUCUAUAUACAGCCUUACUAGGUUAUUCCGUGGGUUACAGUCCGAAAUGUGCGUAUUUAUUUGUUGUCAACAGCAUUGUACAGUGUUUUGUGUGACGUGUAUCUGUAUAUAAUAUGAGAUAAUAAUACGUAUAUUUGUAUAUAAUAAUUAUAUGUGUAUCUGUAUAUAAUAAUAAUAUGUAUCUGUAUAUAAUAUGAAGAAAUACAUUUUAGACAGACAAUAACGGUAGAAGUUACACAUCAGUUUGACAACAGAGAGCCCUUACUAAAUCUUACUAAAUCUUUAUUUAUUUUUGAUGUCUUUAAAAAGAAACAAUGCUGAAAUCGAAUAAAUUAUAUUAUUUAAACAA